UGGGGAAUAUUGCGCAAUGGGGGAAACCCUGACGCAGCAACGCCGCGUGAAGGAUGAAGGUUUUCGGAUUGUAAACUUCUUUGAUUGGGGACGAUAAUGACGGUACCCAAAAAACAAGCCACGGCUAACUACGUGCCAGCAGCCGCGGUAAUACGUAGGUGGCAAGCGUUGUCCGGAUUUACUGGGUGUAAAGGGCGUGUAGGCGGGGAUGCAAGUCAGAUGUGAAAUUCCGGGGCUCAACCCCGGCGCUGCAUCUGAAACUGUAUCUCUUGAGUGCUGGAGAGGAAAGCGGAAUUCCUAGUGUAGCGGUGAAAUGCGUAGAUAUUAGGAGGAACACCAGUGGCGAAGGCGGCUUACUGGACGACAACUGACGUUGAGGCUCGAAAGCGUGGGUAGCAAACAGG
rnacentral:rRNA from 2 species